UACGAACAUAUCACGUUGAAACACCGAUUCCGGUACGUACACCGAAGUUAAGCAACGUCGAUCCUGGUCAGUAUCUAGAUGUGUGACCGCUUAAGAAUAUUAGGUGCUGUAAG